rnacentral:rRNA from 1 species
CGGACGGGUGAGUAACGCGUGGGCAACCUGCCGCAUACCGGGGGAUAACACUUAGAAAUAGGUGCUAAUACCGCAUAAGCGCACAGAGCCGCAUGGCUCGGUGUGAAAAACUCUGGUGGUAUACGAUGGUUCCGCGUCUGAUUAGCUAGUUGGUGGGGUAAUGGCCUACCAAGGCAACGAUCAGUAGCCGGCCUGAGAGGGUGAACGGCCACAUUGGGACUGAGACACGGCCCAAACUCCUACGGGAGGCAGCAG